rnacentral:rRNA from 1 species
AUUGAACGCUGGCGGCAUGCCUUACACAUGCAAGUCGAACGGUAACAGGUCUUCGGAUGCUGACGAGUGGCGAACGGGUGAGUAAUACAUCGGAACGUGCCUAGUCGUGGGGGAUAACUACUCGAAAGAGUGGCUAAUACCGCAUGAGAUCUACGGAUGAAAGCAGGGGAUCGCAAGACCUUGUGCUACUAGAGCGGCCGAUGGCAGAUUAGGUAGUUGGUGGGAUAAAAGCUUAACAAGCCGACGAUCUGUAGCUGGUCUGAGAGGACGAUCAGCCACACUGGGACUGAGACACGGCCCAGACUCCUACGGGAGGCAGCAGUGGGGAAUUUUGGACAAUGGGCGCAAGCCUGAUCCAGCAAUGCCGCGUGCAGGAUGAAGGCCUUCGGGUUGUAAACUGCUUUUGUACGGAACGAAAAGCCCUGGGUUAAUACCCUGGGGUCAUGACGGUACCGUAAGAAUAAGCACCGGCUAACUACGUGCCAGCAGCCGCAGUAAUAC